rnacentral:lncRNA from 1 species
UGCGCCCUUGCCCCGCCAAGGCUGUUUUCCCCUCGGGUUCGCCAUCUCCCUUAGGCAUCGCUUGUAGCCCACUACGUUACCCCUGGGCCAUGCACCCCUUCGGCACGAUGGUGUUACACCUUGAGGUUGGGGUGGCGGUAUACUAGGAUGGUGCAUAGCCGCAAUCCCUAUGCAUAUCCGUUUGUUUUCAGUGGUUUCCUCCACUGGUUUUUUUAAAUUCGUGGAGGUUUUCUCCACG